UGAGUAACGCGUUGGUGACCUACCCCAAAGUGUGGGAUAACAGUUCGAAAGGAUUGCUAAUACCGCAUGUGGUCUUCGGAUUUAGAAACUGAUGACUAAAGGAGCAAUUCGCUUUGGGAGGGACCUGCGUCCCAUCAGCUAGUUGGUGAGGUAAUGGCUCACCAAGGCUACGACGGGUAGGGGACCUGAGAGGGUGACCCCCCACAAUGGAACUGAAACACGGUCCAUACACCUACGGGUGGCAGCAGUAGGGAAUAUUGCACAAUGGGCGAAAGCCUGAUGCAGCAACGCCGCGUGUGCGAUGAAGGCCUUCGGGUCGUAAAGCACUUUUCUGAGGGAUGAGCAAGGACAGUACCUCAGGAAUAAGUCUCGGCUAACUACGUGCCAGCAGCCGCGGUAAAACGUAGGAGGCAAGCGUUAUCCGGAUUCACUGGGCGUAAAGCGCGUGCAGGCGGUUCGGUAAGUUGGGCGUGAAAUCUCCUGGCUUAACUAGGAGAGGUCGUUCAAUACUACCGGACUUGAGAGU
rnacentral:rRNA from 1 species